UACGGAGGGAGCUAGCGUUGUUCGGAAUUACUGGGCGUAAAGCGCGCGUAGGCGGCUUUGUAAGUUAGAGGUGAAAGCCUGGAGCUCAACUUCAGAAUUGCCUUUAAGACUGCAUCGCUUGAAUCCGGGAGAGGUGAGUGGAAUUCCGAGUGUAGAGGUGAAAUUCGUAGAUAUUCGGAAGAACACCAGUGGCGAAGGCGGCUCACUGGCCCGGUACUGACGCUCAGGUGCGAAAGCGUGGGGAGCAAACAGG
rnacentral:rRNA from 1 species